rnacentral:lncRNA from 1 species
GGACACAUCAUAAGAAAUAAUUAAUUAAUAAAAGAAAGAAAGAAAGAAAAGAGGGUUGAAAGAUUGAUCAAUGACACUACUACUGCUGCUGCUGCUGCUGCUGCUGCAUGUAUAUUGGCCAUGCUCUGCUCCUUAAUUUGACUCAUCUUCUCUUCUCUUCUGCUCUGCUCUGCUGCAGUGGAGGAAGGAGAUGAUGAUGAGACAUCUUUUAUCUUGUUUUGUUUUUUUGUGAUUAUUUUUGG